CCCGGCUGCUCUGCUGGCCCCUGCUGGCCCCCCUGCUGGGCCCAGCCCAGGCCAGCGGGAUGAUCUCAUUGCGAGCGUCCUGGCAGAAGUGGCGCCGCAGGCGGUGGAGGAGCUGCGGCAGCACAAGGCCUACGUGAAGCUCCUCAAGAAGCAGUACCGGGAGCUCAAGGAGCUGCGCAAGAAGCACGUCAAGAAGCUGGUGGCCCUCCACAAGCGCCUCAG